rnacentral:rRNA from 1 species
GGAGGUGCUUAUACCGGAGGGGUCACACCCGUGCCCAUUCCGAAUACGGUCGUUAAGUCCUCCAGGGCCCAUGGUACUGCUCUCGUAGGGGAGUGGGAGAGUAGGUCAGUGCCUCCC